rnacentral:rRNA from 1 species
GACGAACCGAGCGAACGUUGUUCGGAAUUACUGGGCGUAAAGGGCGCGUAGGCGGCCUUCUAAGUCGGACGUGAAAUCCCUCGGCUUAACCGAGGAACUGCGUCCGAUACUGAAAGGCUUGAAUCCGGGAGAGGGAUGUGGAAUUCCAGGUGUAGCGGUGAAAUGCGUAGAUAUCUGGAGGAACACCGGUGGCGAAGGCGGCAUCCUGGACCGGCAUUGACGCUGAGGCGCGAAAGCUAGGGGAGCAAACGGG